UCCUGUUAACAAGUCAUUUAUUGUUUCUAUGCCUUAAAAGCUAUUCAAGGAUUGUUCUAUAGUGUUGUGUUUUUCAUGAGUUUUAUUGGUCGAAUACGUGACAUUUUUUACGCCCCUAGUAAAAAAAAUAAAUAGGCCUACAAAAGAGAGGAACAGCUGACGGGCAAAAGCGCUCCCUGCAUGAAGUAUGCUAGGCCAAAACAGCUUGUAAAACGAGCAUGCUUCUUUAAGGUCACUAUGACACAUUUUCACCAAUAACGUGUUUUAAAUGCUCGGAUGUAGCGUAAUAAACAACAAUUAAUCAACGCAAAAGGAAAGGAGUCAAUGUUAAAGAGAAACAGUUUUGAUUCUGCAGUCAUUGCCCAAAUCGGGAUAGGGCCAAACAAUUGGUUCAGAACAAAACAUGUGGUUCAUUUCUAAAAUAAGCCAAUAAAUAAUUAAUAUAACUAUGUUAAUACAUUUGCUCCCUAAUAUUCUUGUAAAAUGUAAUUAAAUAGGGCUAAGCCUCUUGUGUAGGCUAAAUAGCGCAUACAAAACUAAAGAAAAGAGAUGGCUCAAGGAACUACACUGGACUUCAUUCAAAAUGAGAACCACAUAUCAUGAGGCCACAUUUAUUGUAGCUGUGAAUUGUAGCAAAGCAAAUUUGAGAAAAAUGCUAUCGAAGUUCUAUCAACACCUUGCCUGUAGGACUCGUUUAGGGAAAACACUAGCAACUCGCCUUUUCGCAAUGUCUACAAGACCCUCCCCCGCCAAACCAGAUCACGACUCCAUUUUGCUCCUCCCUUCAUAUAGGCAGAAACUCAAACAGGAAGUACUAGUGCUAAGGUCUAUUCAACACUGGUCUGACCAAUCGAAAUCCAUGCUUCAAGAUAGUUUUGAUCACGUGGACUGGGAUAUGUUCUGGGGUUGGGUUGGUUUCGGGUAGCCUCUGAGUAUAGCCACGGGAAAGUGACUGGGAAUAUGGUCGUCAGUACAGAGACAAAGUGGAGGCGCAAUUCAAGGGCUCAGACACGGGACGUAUGUGGCAGGGUCUACAGAUCAUCACGGAUUACAAAGGGAAAACCAGCCACGUCGCGGACACCUAUGUCUUGCUCCCAGACAAGCUAAACACCUUCUUCGCCCGUUUUGAGGAUAACACAGUGCCACCGACGCGGCCCGCUCCCAAGGACUGUGGGCUCUCGUUCUCCGUGGCCGAAGUGAAUAAGACAUUUAAGCGUGUUACCUUUGCAAGGCUGGCCGCGUCCUCAGAGCAUGCGUGGACCAGCUGGCUGGAGUGUAAACUGACAUAUUCAAUCUCUCCCUAUCCCCGCUUGCUUCAAGAUGUCUACCAUUGUUCCUGUACCCAAGACAGCAAAGAGCCACAGACGAUGCAAUCGCCAUUGCACUGCACACUGCCCUAUCCCAUCUGGACAAGAGGAAUACCUACGUCCGAAUGCUGUUCAUUGACUAUAGCUCAGCCUUUAACACCAUAGUACCCUCCAAGCUCAUCAUUAAGCUCUGGGCCCUGGGUCUAAACCCCGCCCUGUGCUACUGGGUCCGGGACAUCCUGACAGCAGCCCCCAGAUGGUGAAGGUAGGAAACAACUCCACUUCACUGAUCCUCAACACAGGGCCCCCACACGGGUGGGUGCUCAGCCCCCUCCUGUACGCCCUGUUCACCCAUGACUGCAUAGCCAUGCACGCCUCCAAUCGUCAAGUUAGCAGACGACACAAUAGCAGUAGGCCUGAUUACCAACAAUGACGAGACAGUUCACCCCGCCGGUUCACCCUGCUGUCAUCUAGAAGGCUAGGUCAGUACAGGUUCAUCAAAACUGGGACCGAGAGACUGAAAAUCAGCUAUCUCAAGGCCAUCAGACUGUUAAAUAGCCAUCACUAGCAGGGUACCACCCGGCUACUCAACCCUGCACCAUGGAGGCUGCUGCCCCAUAUAUUAUAGACAUGUUUGAAUUCUAGAAACACCGGCCACUUUAAAUAAUGGAACACUAGUCACUUUAAUAAUGUUUACAUACUGCUUUACUCAUCUCAUAUGUAUAUACUGUAUUCUAUUCUACUGUAUUUAGUCAAUGCCACUCCGACAUUGCUCGUCCUAAAAUGUAUAUUUAUAUAUUUAUUAAUUCCAUUCUUUGACUUUUAGAUUUUUGUAUUGUUGUGAAUUGUUAGAUACUACUGCACUGUCGGAGCUAGGAACACCAGCAUUUCGCUACACACGCAAUAACAUCUGCUAAAUAUGUGUAUGUGACCAAUAAAAUUUGAUUUGGUUUUUGAAUUAAAGGUAUACAUGAAUAACCAUAGGUCUAUACAUUAUGAGAAUAACUGCCUUUAUAUUACAGCAGUAACAAACACCAACACGAAGUACAACUUCUAUAGGAAUAACCUACUCACCGAUGAUGAAAAUAACUGAUAUUCCCAAAUAUUGAAGCGUUGUCAUUUUCCAGUUCUCUACUGCUGGGACUUUAACAGUCUAUUGACUUGCUUUACAUUCGCACCUCUGGAGCGCAUCCGUCUCUGUCUCAACUAAGUGGAAUGGCACUUUCAGCCAAUCCGAUUCUGGGGGCGAGCUUUUCUGCACAACACCUGCAGUUCUAGUUCACCUCAGAAUCGCUCGUCUUAGCCCGCCCAGAGUGGCUCGCUUUUGGGCAGCAUAUAGCAGCACUUUCGGUUGUGCUUCAAGAAUGCAGCAUAGCAAGUUCGUAUGAAGGUCUGGUUAUUAAAUGGGUAAAUAGUUCACGUUACAUAGUAAUAUGGUCUAAAACGCUCUGGUGACAAACGUUGCUGCCCUGUUUCCAAUCGUCCACAUGACUGGGAGGACCUAUUCAAGUACUAGUAAGUAAAUACAUUUCUAAAAUGUUUUCCCAAAACAUGUUUUAUUUGCUAACUAGCAACAGUGCGGGCUAACUCAAAUGAGCUGCUAACGUAGCUAACACUAGUUAGCUAUCUAGCCGACUUUACAUACUGUAUAGAUAGAUAUUUAAUAAUUUUUUAUAUCACCAGCUGCCCAACUUCAUAUUGGCUAGCUAUCUUGAUGUAUUUAGCACUGUUAAAAAAAAAUACAAAUGAAUUUGUAGGUAACGUUAGCUUGCUAACAGCCAUGGAGGAGGGUGAAAGGAUAGCAGCCCCAACUGUCAAAGUGAGAGGUACCUUUGUGUAGUUCCAGGCCCUAGAAGUGAGGAGGGAGAUAAUGGUAACAUAAUAUUCAGUGUAGUCUAAUUUGAGUAUAAUGAAGUCUGUUUCUUGUUAAGAUUUCUGUUCUCGGAUACAGAGAGCUCUGAAAGCCUGUCUACAUAUGAGGUCCCAAUAAAGAGCAGUGGUUUUCAGUCUUGGUGCUGGGGACUCAAAGGGGUGCACAUUUUUGUUUUUACCUUAGCACUGCACAGCAGAUUCAAAUGGUCAACUCAUCAAGCUUCAAGUGGUAUUUAUGUAUUCAUUUGUGACGCUGUCCUUGAUUUGAUCCUGCUUGUUCACAUGCAUCUAUCAAUCCAAUGUUAUCAUGACUUGUUGUAAGGGAUAUUAUACUUUAGUAAUCCACAAUGACCUGGUGAUGUAAAUGUCUAAAUUACUAUCUUCCAUAUUCCUGCAGUUACUUUGUAACUGGAGAUUCCUGCCUACAGUUACCAUUUAGGGCACUGCAAGGUUUGGUGACCAGGGCCAUCUGGGACUGCCUCCUGGUGGAAUUCAAGCGUGUGAAGGCAACCUGUGUCCUGCAUAACUUCAUGAGGAUGGACACGAGGACCAGGAGGGGAUCUGUAGCUCGCUGCUGUGUGCCAGAGGAGAAGUCUGCCGCUCUGCAGGAUGUUUCAAGGAUGGGGUCCAACAACUCAGCAAGAGAGGCAAUCUGUGUGCGGGUGAUCUUUGUUCCCUGAGGUCGUCUUAAGUGACCGAGGUCGUGAACUCUGGAACAAGGCCGGGCACCUGGCAGCAUUUCCCAGUCCCGAUUCCAGUCCCCGUCCUGGGUCCAGGCCUCCCAAGGUGUCCACACCCCACACAGAGGUCAGCGUCCACUGCUACUGUCGGAAAUACGUGAGAAAGGGUAAGGAGGUGGCCCAGUGCAGGAGAUGCGGCAAGCAUUUUCAUGUGUCUUAAUAACCUGUUGUAAUAUUGUUUUAAAUUUGUAUGAAGAUGUUUUUUUUUCAGACAUUGGCUGUGAAGUUGGUAAGUUGUUUGGUAAGUAUAUAGCACAUGUGUCUGUCUUGUAUUCCAAGUAACAUUUACAAGCAUUUGUAUGUUUUUCCAUUUGUUUGCUGGUAAAUAUUUGAAACUUGCUCAAAUUAGCUGUAAAUGUCGACACUUGCGUAUUAAAUGUAUUAAUUGCAAGUAACAUUUUCAGUUGACUGAAAUUGACUGUUCAGUUACAGAUUUACUGGUCCAUAAUCCCUUCUCCCAUUGCCCAACAAUCUGCCCAUUUAUCCCAUCCCCUCCAUCUCCUUACAUAAUCUAAAUCUACUGCUAUUGUCAUUAUCUGCUAAUAAAGUUUGCUAGUAGUAUCAUACUGGGCAUAUAACAUGUGAGAUACAGAGAUGAACUAAAAACACUAGCGCUGCACACACUCAGAACAAAGAGAGCAGCAGUUCCUGGACUUCGCAGUCUCCCUCCAAGUCCCUCUUCCGAGACUGUCUGUUGAGAAGUGACAGGCAGAACCUCCUAACCACACAGCACCCACCUCUUUAUUUCACACACCAGAAUUAUGUAUUUCAUUCUGAUUGCCAUGUGAGUGUACCAAAAAGAAUCUGAAAAUAAAUGACACAACUGUACCAAAAACUAUCAAAGUUUAUGUAUUAAAAUUGUCUGGUUGGUUUUCACAAGUG